rnacentral:siRNA from 1 species
UGGAAAUUUUGCAAUGAACGCUAC